GACUUUGGAGCCCAAGGAAAAAGGGACUUUGGAGCCCUAAAAAUGGGAUUUGGAUCCUGGGAAGGCGGACCUGGAGUCCUGGGAACAAAGGGAUUUAGGAUCCCACGAAGAGGGAGCUUGGAGCCCAGGAAAAAUGGGAUUUAGGAUCCCGGGAGAAGUGGCCCCAAAAGCUGGGAAAAGAAGGGAUUUGGAUGCCAAGAAGAGGAACAGUGGAUCCCAGGAAGAGAAGGGUGAAGAUCCCUUCACGGAGGAGCCCCAGGACGGCCCCAAAGCCGCGGAAAUCCCGGAAAAAUCCCCGGAAAAUCCCGAAAUUGCCCAGGAUUGCCCCAAAGCCCAGGAAUUCCUGACGGCCCCCGGGCCCCUCCUGGUGCCCCCUUUCCUGGAGGAGCCCGAAAUUCCUGAAAAUCCCCAAAAUCCCCUGGAAAACCCCCUGGAAAAUCCCCAAAAUCCCCAGGAAAAUCCAAAAAAUCCUGAAAAUUCCCAGGAAAAUCCAAAAAAUUCCCAAGAAAAUCCCAAAAAUUCCCAAGAAAAUCCCAAAAAUCCCCAAGAAAAUCCCCCAAAAUCCCAGGAAAAUCCCCAAAAUUCCCAAGAAAAUCCCCAAAAUUCCCAAGAAAAUCCCCAGGAAAAUCCAACAGAAAAAUGCCAGGAAUUGGGGAUUUCACCCCAAACCCAAACUGAGGAGGAAGAAGAGGAGAAAAUUCCGGAAAAAAUUCCAGAAAAAGAGGAAAAAACCCCAAAAAAGGAGGAGGAGAAAACCUCAGAGGAGCCCUGAGAAUUCCAGGUUGAAGAAGCCACAAAAGAGGAGAAAUUCCUGAAUUUUUCCCAUUCUCUGCUGGGAUUUGGGGCAAUUUUUAGGGAAAA